ACUCCUACGGGAGGCAGCAGUGGGGAAUCUUGCGCAAUGGGCGAAAGCCUGACGCAGCGACGCCGCGUGGGGGAAGAAGGCCUUCGGGUUGUAAACCUCUUUCAGGAGGGACGAAGCCACUCGGGUUAAUAGCCCAGAGGGUGACGGUACCUCCAGAAGAAGCCCCGGCUAACUACGUGCCAGCAGCCGCGGUAAUACGUAGGGGGCAAGCGUUGUCCGGAUUUAUUGGGCGUAAAGAGCGUGUAGGCGGCUAGACAAGUCUGCUGUGAAAACUCGAGGCUCAACCUCGAGCUGUCGGCGGAAACUGUCUGGCUAGAGUCCGGAAGAGGAGAGUGGAAUUCCUGGUGUAGCGGUGAAAUGCGUAGAGAUC
rnacentral:rRNA from 1 species